UUUCCACGCCGGGAAUCGAACCCGGGCCUUCUGGGUGAAAUCCAGAUAUCCUAACCACUAGACCACGUGGGA
rnacentral:tRNA from 1 species